UUGUAGGCUGCAACUCGCCUACAUGAAGCUGGAAUUGCUAGUAAUCACAGGUCAGCAUACUGUGGUGAAUACGUUCCCGGGCCUUGUACACACCGCCCGUCACACCAUGAGAGUUGGAAAUACCCGAAGCCUGUGAGCUAACAGUAAUGAGGCAGCAGUCGAAGGUAGAGCCAAUGAUUGGGGUGAAGUCGUAACAAGGUAUC
rnacentral:rRNA from 1 species